GACGAACGCUGGCGGCGUGCUUAACACAUGCAAGUCGAACGGAAAGGCCCUGCUUUUGUGGGGUGCUCGAGUGGCGAGCGGGUGAGUAACACGUGAGUAACCUGCCCUUGACUUUGGGAUAACUUCAGGAAACUGGGGCUAAUACCGGAUAGGAGCUCCUGCUGCAUGGUGGGGGCUGGAAAGUUUCGGCGGUUGGGGAUGGACUCGCGGCUUAUCAGCUUGUUGGUGGGGUAGUGGCUUACCAAGGCUUUGACGGGUAGCCGGCCUGAGAGGGUGACCGGCCACAUUGGGACUGAGAUACGGCCCAGACUCCUACGGGAGGCAGCAGUGGGGAAUAUUGCACAAUGGGCGGAAGCCUGAUGCAGCAACGCCGCGUGCGGGAUGACGGCCUUCGGGUUGUAAACCGCUUUCGCCUGUGACGAAGCGUGAGUGACGGUAAUGGGUAAAGAAGCACCGGCUAACUACGUG
rnacentral:rRNA from 1 species